rnacentral:miRNA from 1 species
GGUGGGAGGAUCAUUUGAGCCUGGGAGGUAGAGGCUGCAGUGAGCUGUGAUCACACCACUGCACUCCAGCCUGAGUGACAGAGUAAGACCCUGUCUC